GUCGAAUUGAUUGAUUUACAAUGUUGUGUGCGUUCCAGAUAGCAGGGUGAUUUGGUUAUAUAUAUGCAUAUAUUUGUAUAUAUCUAUAUUAUUCUUUUGAUUCUUUUCUAUUACAGUUUAUUACAAGAUAUUGAAUAUGGUUCCCUGCGCUACACAAUAAAUCCUUGCUGUUUAUCUAUUUUAUAUAUGGCAGUUUAUAUCUAUCAAUUCCACCCUCCUAAUUUAUCCCUUCCCCUUUCCCCCUUUGGUAAUCCUAAAUUUGUUUUCUCUCUGUAAGUCUGUUUCUGUUUUGUAGUAAGUUCAUUUGUACUAUUUUUAAAAAAUCCGUAUAUAAAUGAUAUCAUAUAAUAUUUAUAUUUCUCUGUUUGACUUACUCCACUUAGUAUGAUCAUCUCUAGGUCCAUCCAUGUUGCUGCAAAUGACAAUAUUUCACUCUUUUUUAAGGCUGAGUAGUACUCCAUUGUAUAUAUGUACCACAUCUUCUUUAUCUAUUACACCGUUGAUGAACAUUUAGGUUCCUCCCAUGUCUUGGCUAUUGUAAACAGUACUGCAAUGAACAUCGGGGUCCAUGUAUCUUUUUAAAUUAUGGUUUUCUCUGGAUGUAUGCCCAGAAGGGGGAUUGUUGAAUCAUAUAGUAACUAUCUUUAGUUUUAUAAAUUCUAGAUUUUUUAUUUAUUGCUGGGUCCUUUUUUAAUGUUCACUUUUCUAUCUAGAAGGUGUGGAUUUAAGUCUAGUCUAGUGAUGCAGAGAGCCAACAUGGGCAUGACUUUUAUUCUUCCAAAGGCCUUCUGCUCCAUUGAGGAGGCCAGGGAAGUGAAGAAGGCCACCCCAUCUCAGUGUGACUGGCUGAACCAAUCAAACCCUGGUUCUUAGUGAGACUGAAUAUGGGACACAUAGGGAAGAUUCACUAGGAAAAGUUAUAGCAGCAAAAUAAAUAAAAGCAGAAACAGAAGGCAGCCGAGCCCCUAACGUGGUGGGGCACAAGUUUGCGAGACGACAAGAUAACCGGGUCACCACGGCUGUUGUUUUCAGAGAGCAGCAAGACUCCAGCUGCAUCCUGCAUGGCUUUCCUGUUCCCCUGGGGUUUCUAUGCAGCUAUGCAGAUACUUCCCUCCUUAUUUCUUUAUUUAACUUUAAAUGUUCUUCAGCUAAGGUAAACCGCAGAUAGCUGUGCUCUUUGCAACCCUAAAGAAUCUACUUGAAACAACCAGUUCCUUACUAUUUCUCCUCUCUGCCCUACUUUUGAAAGGAGUAAGAGAACAUUUUAGCAUGGUAUAUAGAUUCAUGUCUUUAUCCUGCUGUGGAAUUAUGGUAGUUUUGGUCUUUGACGUUAGUAAUAAAUUCUUUUUCUCUUCCUGUACAGAUGCCAGGUUUUUAGUAUCGAGAACAGUGCUUCCAUAAGGGCCCUACUCUCAGUCAUUCUGGCUUUGUUCUCAUGACCUGUAUACCUCCCAAAGAUCCCACUACCUCGGGGACUGGGAUUUCAACAUGCGAAUUUGGGGGAACACAAAUAUUCACCUAUCCAUAGCAAGGAUUUCAGAAUUUUUGCUUCAUUUCUGCCUGAGAAAAAUGGGUAGUCUUCCCACUGGAUAAUCCAGUGAGAGGGUAAAGAGACCCUUCUCUAGCUGCAACAGUGUGUGCCUUCUAUUUUAUAUCUGAAACUGGAAUUCAUUUUCUAAGAGAAAUAAGGUUGUGUAUGAAGAUAAGUUUCUAUGGUUCAGCUACAUUAUAGAUUGAAUAGACCCUCAAAGAAUAGCCUAAGAAUCUUAUCAUUACUUAUAUUAAUAGCACUGUUAUGGGUUACUUGCUUCUAACUUUUAAUAAGACAAUUAAAAUAGUAUUUAAAAAUACAAAUAACAGCUCCGUAAGCCUGUACUAUGUGGAUGUGUUGAUCUUGGCUCCUUCUUAAUGAUCCAAAGUUGAGAUCAGAUUCAAUUUGCCUUUAUCAUCUAUCAUUCUGGAAUCAGAAGUUCAAUGAACCCAGAUAUGUAUUUGUUAAAGAACAGUGGCUGAAUACAAUUAGACCACAGCUGUUUAAUCUGGUGACUGGACUCAAAAUUCAAUGGAAAGAGUCUGGAGUCAUGAACUGACCCUCUCCAGUGGAAUCAUCUUUGGGUUAAGAACGAUGCCAAUUUACAAUGCUAAGAACCAUCUGAGGAUGUAGAACACUGGUAAUAAAUUCUUAUCCAACCAACAGAGAUAUUUAAAUGUUGCUGCAAGAUCAACACUAACUCUCUCCAUACUCUCUCCCCCCCGCACCACGCUGUUGUUCUGGAAGAAAGAAUCAUUUUCAUUCUUGUUCCCAGUACCUCUAAAGUUUAUUUCUCAUGGAGAGACUUGCAGUUUUUAAAUUGGACCAACGUUGAAUAUCAAAAGGUUCAACAUCCCCUCCAAGAAACCACCCAGUUCUCACUUCUCAGCGUGGUUGCCAUGAAGUCACAAAGGCCUCCAGGGCCUUAACACAGAUGACAGAGGUGUGAGCGUGGAGUCUCUUGUGUCAGAGCCAGAUGCCUCUCCUAAACCAAGUCUUCUAGCUUGAACACACUAGCAGAGGCUGGCACACUUUCGCCCACUAAACUCCAUAGUCAGGGCAGGAAAAUGAUUUCAACUUAAGAAACUGCAUUCCACUACAUCCUGAGCUGAUCGCUUCUCCUUUCAAAAAACUUCCCCUUUCUGCCAUUUUGCACCAAGCAGGCAGGAUUAUUCUUCAAUAUAACAGAACUUUCUGGGCUUUGAAUAGGAUACUCUUUGACCCAUAAAUCAUUCUUCCUACUUUCAAGGGGCUAUCUUUUACCUCUUCCACGCUCUAUCCUGUCUGCAGACCUUUGUCUGCUUACAAUCUGGGAAGGCAAGCAGUCCACCUGUUUACGCACUGGGCCAUUUUGUUCCCAUCACUGAAGAAAUCCUCAGGAGACCUCUGAACAAACACUCAAUUUCUUAAUCGAGUAAUUCUUUCCAUUAUCAAAUUUUACAUGCCAGCACUCUUCACUGACUGCACAAAAAAGAUUAGUCUGGAUGACUAGACAAAUUCUGGGUCUCCUGAAUAUUACAAAAUAAACAUUUGCAAGUUGGAAAAACGGGGGAGGACAAUAUUUUUCUACAGAAAAGAAGACAACUAGAGUUCUGGAACUACAUUAAAAGUCAUUUAUGCUGUCACAACUUAAUAGUAAAAUUAGUAUUUUUUUCUCAUAGAAAUCCUAAUACCUAUGCCUACUCAUGCUAGUAUUUAUUUCAUUUUAAAUUAAUGUACAGUAAAAUUAUCUUUUGUAUGAGUAUAGGUGUUUAUGAAUUUAAUAGUUCUAUGAUUUAAACACAUAUAUAGCUUCAUCUAACUGUUACCAUAGUAACUAUUUCAGGAUCCCUAAAAGUUUUACCACCCAUUAAAAUUGACUCUUGCCAUCCAGUGUAGUCACACCAUCCCCUAAUACUUGACCACGGAUCUUUUGUCACCACACUUUUGGUUUUUGAGAAUGUCAUAUAAAAGGAAUUAUAUAUUAGGUAAAUUUUUUGUCUGACUUCUUUUAAUUGGCACAGCUAUUUUAUGAUUUAUACAAGUUAUUAUAUAGAGGUACAUAUCAAAAUUCAUUCCAUUUUAUUGCUGAGGACUAUUCCCUUGUAUAUAUUGUCAAAAAUUAAUACACAGAAACCUUAAUUAAAUAGAGUUGGGAGACCAGCAGGGGGAGCCCUCACACCCUGCAUGGACAGCCCAACAGGAAGAAGAAUGCUGCCUCGUCUUUCCUGGCAAGCCCUCAGCCAAUGACAAGCAUGGACUCUGUUUACUAUAGUCAUCCCCUCCCAACUUCCUUUUCCUCCCUAUAAAAACAUUUUCCUUCUCUUGCUAUGCAAGAACUUAUACUGGGCUCACCAUGGAUGUAGACUUUGAGCUUUAAUUCUCUGCUGAUCCCAAACAAACCUAUCUUUGUUGGGGAAAUACAUGGCAGUCUGUUUCAGGUUAACAGUAUUUAUCACAGUAUGUUUAACCUACUCACUCUGUGAAGAAGACCUGGGUUGUUACCAGUUUUUGAGAUUGAUAAGUAAAGUUUCUAUAAAUAUUUGGGUAGUAGUUUUUGUGUGAACACAAGUUUUCACUUCUCUAGGGUAAAAUCCUAGAAGUGAGCUUGCUGGACCAUAUUGUUAAGUAUAUGGUAAAGCUAUGUUUAACUUUAUAA
rnacentral:lncRNA from 1 species